UAAUAAGUGUUUUAUGGCACUUUUUAAAUCCAUAUCCACCUUGUGUGCAAUGUCAGUCGAUCAUUCUUUUAUGGAGAUCGACCAAACAUCAACCUUUAUCUUUUAACUCUUUGUCUGAAAAAUAUUAUGAAUAAACAAUUCAAAAUA
rnacentral:misc_RNA from 1 species